AACCAUAGAAACCUGCGGAGUACCUGCGGAAGGAUCAUUACAGAGUUGCAAAACUCCCUAAACCAUUGUGAACCUACCUUCUACCGUUGCUUCGGCGGGCGGGCCUAGCGCCCCCCCCGGCCCCCCGCGGGCGCCCGCCGGAGGAUAACCAAACUCUUGACAUCAGUGGCCUCUCUGAGUAUUCUUUACUGAAUAAGUCAAAACUUUUAACAACGGAUCU
rnacentral:misc_RNA from 1 species